UUACAGGUGAUUGGUCACUUCCCAGGAGGCCUUGAAGAACCAGAGAGAAGCACUGACUCUAGCAUAGGUGUCAGGGUAGCAGGAGAAGAAUUGCCCCAGGAUGAGGAGAGGUCAGAAGCCAGGAAACAGAUAGGAAAACCCAAGGUUCAGGGAGAAGAGGAAAUUGAGAGAGAGGCUCAAGACUGAGUCUGUGAAGGAAGAAUGUAUCAGUCAGUGCGGGAUCAUUGCUGUAACAAACAACCCCAAGUCUCAGGCUUUUAAUUCCAGAAGAGUCAGUUUAUUACUCAUGCCAUAAGUUCAAAGCAGGUCAGUGGAGGAGAGAGAGCACUGCUCCAUUCAGUCAUUUAGGGACCCAGGCCCCCUCCAUCCUGUAGCUUGCCUCCCCUCAAGGUCUUCAAAGUCCUCACCAUCCAGAGGGAAGUUGAAGAAAGAGAGGACACUGGUGUUAUUAUUGAUAUUAAGCCAGCCCAGGAGUCCCCUCUCUUCUGGACAUCGGCAGGUCAGUGUAGAAGCGUUAGGACAGGGGGGCUGAAUUCCUCUCUUUCUGAGGGGCAGUGGAGCCCGAGCCAGCCUGUGGCUUCAUCAUCCACACCUUCAGUGUCCCCGGGGGCUCUCCUGACAUCUUGACGUCAGCACAGUCCCUCUUCUGCAUAAGCUACUCAAAGAUUUAUUGAGCACCUACUGUGUGCCAGGUCUCCCUCCAGGUGCUGGGGUUACCGCGACCAAGACGAAUGCAGACUCCGUUUCCCUGAGGCUUCAACUCCUGGAAGACAGCCACGUGGAGGAGGCUACAGCUGCCUUCAGACAUCGAAGAGGGGAACCCCCAGAAGCCCAAGGGUGCGGUCUGUGGUCAGGGCAGCGAAUGGCCCCCGGGAGGCUGCACUCUGGGCUCUGGUCCUGGCGGCAUGAUCAACUUUCUGGGCGACCUCGGACAAGUCACUCUCCCUCUCUGAACUUUAGUGUCCUCAUCUAUAAAGCGAGUGCACUGGUCUAAGACCCCAGCCAGGUCUUAGCUGCAGCCCUCGGAACCUUUAGUUGUGGCGUUCAAACUCCUGAUUGCGGCAUGUGGGAUCUAGUUCCCUGACCGGGAACCAAACCCCAGGCCUCCUGCAUUGGGAGGACAGAGUCUUAGCCUCCAGGCCCCCAUGGAAGUCCCUCAAUUAUUAAAAAAUAAGAAAUCAUCUGA
ensembl:lncRNA